ACUUUUAUCUCAAUUAGAAAGAAGAAGAAAGAGUGGGGGAAACUGCAUAUUUAAAAACCAGUCUGGAAGUCCAGCAGGGAAGUUAAACAUCUGAGCACCUCAUGAUGGAUGAUGUGAGACAGGUGUGGCCAACCGAGCGUGACGGGGACGACUCCCAUCAAGUCCGUCUGGGUUUCAGCCUGGAAAGUCCGGAGGAUUCAGAGGAGCAUCUGAUCCUCUCUGGAGACCUGGAGGAGGAAGGUGGAGGUCUGGUCUUCGUUUGGAUUUUCCAACACAUGUUGAUGCUUUGUUCUAAACCACUGCAUUGUGCCAAUGGUUGUUCUAAACAGUUCCUGAACCUCCACCCAACUUUCUACAGCAGAACCUCCAUCCUUUCUGACCAAGCAGCUUCGCUGUCCGUGCUGAAGAAAUGAACAGAUCUCAAAGCCUGGGGUACAGUUUUCUAACCCAACCAUGAAAUGACCUUCUCCACAUCUUUGUCCUUGUUGUCUGCUGUGUUUCUUGGUCUUCGUGAUGAACAAAUCCGAACAGCUAAAUCAGAGAGGAGACAUUAAAACACACACAGCCAGACUCUGUUUAGGUGACGCCAGAAGGCAAUUUGUUCCACUGGAGGUUAUUUAGACUCAUCAGAGUAAAGGGAGCUUUGUGUCAAUGGAUAGUAAAGGACGUCUUUACUUCCCUGCAAGGUGCUGUAGGUUUACUCUCCAUGAAGUUUGGAUGACUUGCAGUAAAGAGCAUCUGUAGUCCGAGGCUAAGAUUUUUUAUAUUUUUUUUAUUUUAAAUAUAGAUACAAAAACAAGAUUGAGGUUUUGCAUUUGCUAAAACAUUGUUGUCAUUAAGUUGGAAACUUUUUCUUUUACAUCUUCCACAAGUAACUUCCUUUAGGAAAACAAUGUAUCAAUCUUCUUCCAAAUGUGUUUUUUUUUAUUAAAACUUUAUUAAAAUGUUGGUUCUUUAAAAAUGACAAAUUUUCUACAGUAGGUAUGUAAAAUAAAAUCUUAAUGUACGUCUCUAAAUGAGGAUUUUUGGCUGCAUUGAGGAUAAAAAUGGCUCUUUGGACUGUAAAGGUUGCAGUUCUGGUUUAGGUGAUACCAAGUCGUUUCUUCCCUUAGAUUAAAAUAUAUCCUCACUGCCCGUCUGACUUUCAUUACAAGCAAAGUUAAGGCCAACAGUUCACCACAUGCCCUCAGCUGAAUCCUUUUGUCCCUUGCAGACUCAGUUUCUCACUACAAGCUGUAACAAGUCCUCGUGGGAUACGAGCCCCACUCCCUCCAGGUAAUGAGACCCUAGUAACUAACCGGCUGAUAAAUUGCUGCUUCACUCUUAACCCUUUCAUGCACAAUGGUCACUACAGUGGACAGCUAUCGAAAAGCCAUAGCCAUUUUC